rnacentral:sRNA from 1 species
UAGCCAUGCGGAUACUACGCUUGACGAAA